rnacentral:rRNA from 1 species
GACGAACGCUGGCGGCGUGCUUAACACAUGCAAGUCGAACGGAAAGGCCCUGCUUUUGUGGGGUGCUCGAGUGGCGAACGGGUGAGUAACACGUGAGUAACCUGCCCUUGACUUUGGGAUAACUUCAGGAAACUGGGGCUAAUACCGGAUAGGAGCUCCUGCUGCAUGGUGGGGGUUGGAAAGUUUCGGCGGUUGGGGAUGGACUCGCGGCUUAUCAGCUUGUUGGUGGGGUAGUGGCUUACCAAGGCUUUGACGGGUAGCCGGCCUGAGAGGGUGACCGGCACAAUUGGGACUGAGAUACGGCCCAGACUCCUACGGGAGGCAGAAGUGGGGAAUAUUGCACAUUGGGCGGAAGCCUGAUGCAGCAACGCCGCGUGCGGGAUGACGGCCUUCGGGUUGUAAACCGCUUUCGCCUGUGACGAAGCGUGAGUGACGGUAAUGGGUAAAGAAGCACCGGCUAACUACGUG